AUCAGGUAGGACUACCCGCUGAACUUAAGCAUAUCAAUAAGC
rnacentral:rRNA from 1 species